UCCAGACUCCUACGGGAGGCAGCAGUGGGGAAUAUUGCACAAUGGGGGAAACCCUGAUGCAGCGACGCCGCGUGAGUGAAGAAGUAUUUCGGUAUGUAAAGCUCUAUCAGCAGGGAAGAAGAAAGACGGUACCUGACUAAGAAGCCCCGGCUAACUACGUGCCAGCAGCCGCGGUAAUACGUAGGGGGCAAGCGUUAUCCGGAUUUAUUGGGUUUAAAGGGUGCGCAGGCGGGAGAUCAAGUCAGCGGUAAAAUGUCGGGGCUCAACCCCGGCCGGCCGUUGAAACUGGUUUUCUAGAGUUGGAGAGAAGUAUGCGGAAUUCGUGGUGUAGCGGUGAAAUGCAUAGAUAUCACGAAGAACUCCGAUUGCGAAGGCAGCAUACCGGCUCCAUACUGACGCUGAGGCACGAAAGCGUGGGGAUCGAACAGGAUUAGAUACCCUUGUAC
rnacentral:rRNA from 1 species